rnacentral:rRNA from 1 species
GACGGAGGAUGCAAGUGUUAUCCGGAAUCACUGGGCGUAAAGCGUCUGUAGGUGGUUUAAUAAGUCAACUGUUAAAUCUUGAGGCUCAACCUCAAAAUCGCAGUCGAAACUAUUAGACUAGAGUAUAGUAGAGGUAAAGGGAAUUUCCAGUGGAGCGGUGAAAUGCGUAGAUAUUGGAAAGAACACCGAUGGCGAAAGCACUUUACUGGGCUAUUACUAACACUCAGAGACGAAAGCUAGGGUAGCAAAUGGGAUUAGAUACCCCAGUAGUCCUAGCCGUAAACUAUGGAUACUAGAUGUUGAACAGAUCGACCUGUGCAGUAUCAAAGCUAACGCGUUAAGUAUCCCGC